GUCGCUCUUACCGAUGGACUUCUCUGUGAGUUUGAGGGACUGGAUUUUAUAUCUAUGGAAACUCAACGAACAGUGUGGUCUAAAGGAAAGAGAAGUCGUAACAAG
rnacentral:rRNA from 1 species